UGGGGCGUCGCCAAGUGGUAAGGCAUCGGGUUUUGAUCCCGCUAUUCGGAGGUUCGAAUCCUUCCGUCCCAG
rnacentral:tRNA from 2 species